AAGCUGUUGUUGUUGGAAAUGGGAUGUUGCUGUUGCUGCUGCUGCUGCUGCUGCUGUUGCUGCUGCUGCUGCUGCUGCUGGAACUGGUUUAGCUGCUGCUGUACCCGGAUAUGGGUAAAUACACGACUAGCUGAGCCUAUCGGGCCCAGCAUGGCUUGAGAGGCAGCGGGCGAGCUCGAGCAACUAUUAUCCACUUCGCUCGCAUUACUCCCGCGCACUCGCAAAACGCGGACUGGACUCGUCCCCGGGCCGCCGCCGCCCGCCCCGGCGCAGCCUCGCGGGACCCAGCCGGGCUUGGGCUAAGGCUGGGGCCGGGGCCGGGGCCGGGGCGGCUCGGCGGCCGCUCGGAGCGCGGCGGCGUGGGGCGGCCGGAACCUGCACUUUCCCCCCGGGCCGCUGUCUCCUUGCCAACCGGGCGUUCGCAUGUUUGUUUUCACGUCUAAAAGGAACGAUACAAAGGUGGAAAACGAGUCUGACGAGCAGACAAAAGAGGGAGAAGGGCUGGGAAACAAAGUUGUCUAUUGGCCUCAGAGGUUACAAGGAGCCGACGGAGAAAGAAAAUAUUUAGGCAAUCUGCAAAAGCACGGUCUCUCCCAGGAGUUAUGUAAUUUUCAGAACGUUCGCCUCUGCCUUGAUUUCGGGCCAUCGGCGUAAUUCCCACAACUUCUUCCAACUGCAAAAUUAGGAAAGAUUUGAAAUGAAGGUUAGCCCCGGUCAGAGAGCCCUAUGGCCUGUACCCAGUAGGUACUCAAUAAAUGCUUAUGACUGACUGCACCCGCCCCAAAGAGAAUGUUUACAUAACUCUUUUUGAAGGCACCUUAAACACGUAUGUAGGUUUGUCAGUGUAUUUCCAAAGGAAUAUGUCCACGUAUUCCCAAAGGAGCAUUUUUCUUACAUGCACUUGGAUGUCCUCUGUGGAGUAUGUACAGUGGUGUUUUCUGCGCCAACUUUCACAUGAACAUUUAACUCUUGGUGCCAGAACAGCGACAGCUAUGGGUUAGCUCGUAUCUUCAUAAAUCUAUAUGACACCUUUCAUCAUGUUUCAGAGCUUCGUGUGCACAGUUAACCCUCUCGAUAUACAUUCAUUUCAAAGAGAUGUGGAACGAAACUAAAAUAUUAUAGACAUUAUAUUUAAUAAAUAUAACUUCAAUAAUAAUAUAAAACAGUCAACUCUAGUCCUAAUGUAGAAAUGUUCCAUACUUUGUUCUCUUAAAAAUUGGUGUCUAUUAACAUUUUAUAAUGUUUUUAAUAUUUGCAUUGUUAUUAAUGUUUUCAAUAUGUGCAUUGUCCCCUAGUAACAUUUUAAAAAGCAAGACUUCUUAACCUUAGGCAAUGACCCACUUGUACUAGUGUGGACUCAGUUUUCAUUGAGAGAAAGCAUUUAAAACCUGGCAGAAACAAUACUUACGGUUUUGGUAGAGUAUAGUUUUCCAAAAUUAUUUCAUUCUUCAGCUUUCCAUAAAAACUAUUUUAGUUCAUUUCCACUGCAGCAGUGGUUAUUUGUUUGACCAAGUGUAAAUAUGUUACAUGACUAAAUAGAAAAGGAUUGAUGGGAAAACUGGUGACUAAUUGGGGUCGGGGGGAGGGAAUCAGGUGCACACCCAAGGGUCAUUAUAGAGUGUAGAAACAACAAAUUGCAAUUCUACGCAAACAACUGGAAAACGGGAUAUAUCAUCGUGUGUUAGAGAGAAUAACAGAACCAUAAGAUGAAUUCGUGCCAAAUCAUUCAUCAGUUUUUGCCAAGAGAAUACUACAUCUUUGUUAGUGUGCCUUUUUGACAUUUUUUCCUGGAUUUUCUCCCUUUAUAUAUUCAAAUACAUACUAAUUAUACGCAUUACACCACAGAAGUUGAAUUUUUAGUUUUUCAUAUGCAAAUAUAAAUAUAUGUCUGUUUUGUGUGUAUAUACAUAUAUUCUAAAAUCAAUUACAUAUUUAUGCUUUUAGACAUAGUCAAACUAAGUAUGUACACAUCAUCCUAAAAGUGCAUUUUUUCAAAUUGAUAAAAUAUAUCAAAGUCAGUUCAUACAAGUGUAGCCAUAUGUUGUGGCUUAUUUUCACAACUAAUCCUAAAAGGGAAAAUGAGUCACCAAGUUCAGCUAUGGCCCUUUUCCUUAAAAUAUUUUUUCAUAUUGGCAAAUCGUGAAACUAAAAAAAAAUUAGUAGAGAAGUCAAAAUCUCUUUUAAUUCCAUUUGCUUCAGCAAGUCAACUAGAAGAUUGGAACUAAGAGACUAUAAAAUAGAGGCCCCCAGCACAAUGAAAUCAGUCUGCUAUAAAAGGCGACACAUGCCAGUUUUUCCUCCCCAAUGGCAGAUGCCACACCCUAAAGCAGACAGAAGGCACUGCAGCCUGUAGGAGAAGCACAACACAAAGCCGGCAGGACUUGGUUUUGUCUUUUAAACCACGGAGAAUGCUAAAAUACCUUUCUAAAGCAUCUUUGCUGAAGAUAAGAAGUGCACUCGAAUUUGCUCAACUUUUCAUACACACCUCAGGAAAACAAAAUAAAAGCCUGUUUAGUUUCAUUUAAACAUCCAGGGCUUAACAAACAAAACACCAAUUGUCAGGGGUCUGUUACAAAGUGAUGAAAUAGGUUCCCAUUACACAAAAGCACAAUUUCAACCACAGGUUCAAAUUUCCAUUGUGUUCCUUGCCUCAACUAUCUCAUAUGGCAAUUCUACCUUAUUGUUUCUUUUUGAUGAAAUAAGGUACUAGAAAUCACUGCGCUCAUUUUUCCUAAUGAAUUCCUUAAUUUUACACCUCUUGCCUAAAUUUCAAACCACAAUGACAACUUUAAUAAGUUACCCUAACCACAAAGAAGCCAUGAGGGGAAGGCCCGGAGGCUGCCCGCAGCCACCCUGGGUUCCAGCCGACCUCCCACCCACAGGGUGCUCCCCACGCCCUCAUGUUUAGCCAGAGGAUUACCCAUUAUUUUGUUAAACAUUCCUUUUUGGUUACAAAAGACUUUUUUUUUUACUGUAUGGAAAUAUUAAUAUUCAAAUACUGCGCCUUUUGAAUAAGUUUUAGGGCACUGAAUAAAAGGCUCUUCAACUUGGCCACUUAAAGGGGAUUGAGCCAGAUGGUAGUUUAAGAAUUCCACAGUUCUGUUCUUUUUGCCUCAUCGUAGCCCAUCAUACUCUGUUUGCUUUCAGAUUAGUCCCCUUUUACUGUUCUACUUAUUUAUUCGAUGACUGAAACUAUCACGAUUCACUGCCCAUCAUAUUUCUAACUAUUCUUUAUGUAAUUUGGAAGCAAUUUAGAAUAAAGCCCUGUCAAGGUUUUACAAAUAAGAACUAUUAAAGAAUAAAGCUUUGGAUACUUGCUUUCCUUUUAGAUUUAUGAGAAAUGCGAUGAAUAGAGCUAAUGGGAUUUCCCUACUGAUCUUGGUCAGGGACUUAAGAAAGCACGAAACAAUUGUCCUUUUCACUUCUCCGAUUUAGACGUUAGCAGUGAAUAACUGCGUCACUGCAAGAUAUGGGAUGUAGCAUUUGAUUUGAAACAACUGUGCAAAUCAAUUAGGUAGGAUUUGAAAAAAAAAAAGAAGCCUAGGCAAAAAAAAUAGUUCAAAUUUGGGAACUAUGGCAGACGGUAGCACUAAUAAACUUACUAAGAAAAUUAUUGUGGGGAUAAUAAACCUGGAUGGAGAUACACUGCAUGUAGUCAUUCAACAAAUUUACCUAGAGUCUACCUUGUGCCAUGCCUUGAAAAUGAAAGAUAAUUACCUUGGUCCUGUCCUUCAUAGGGGAGAUAAACAAUUAACAAUCACUCAUACCUACUAAGGUCUGCCCCUCAAUGUCACAUGGGAUUUGGCCAGUAAAGAAGCAAGCUCAGACCUUCCCCAUCCCGCAGCAUUUCCUGCAGCGGAGGCUUGCUGGCUGCCAUUAGCGGGCAGCUGACCCUAAUCCUCCCGCUGACACAACUCCGACUUGACACCUGGAACCCACCACUGUGGAGUCUGGACUUCCAGAACCUUAAGUUUAACAUCAGGCUACUACAGUUUCUCUCCAAAUUCCUUAGAAACAUAGUAACACCAGUGAAAUACAUUAAGAAACACCUUACUACAUUUUAAUACAUUGUACUUUUUAUUUUAUCCUGGACUGUCCGCUUUUGAAUGACUUUAUCACAGCCUCAUUUAUAAAUUUCUUGUAACUUUUAGACAAAUGUGUGUUCAAUGGCUGCUUUUAUUUCCAGUACUGUCCUCAAUCAUUUUGCCAUUAGUGAAAAUCACUUACUGAGCACCUACCAGUGUUUUUCAGUAUUCUACAUCACAUCAUGUAGUCAUCUUUGUGGCCGUUCUUAGUGAUAACAUGCUGCCUGGCUGGCUAAAGGUCCUGCAUAGGUAACUCCACUCUAGUUCCUCAAAAUAAAUAUUUGGGUAGUAAGCAUAUAUAAUCAGGUAUACAAAUAAGUCACUUGGCAGUUGAAUCACCUCAGUUUUCUAGAAAAGUUUCAGGAACUUACCUGAAGGCCUUCUAGGUCUCUCACAGAUAAUGAUUAAUUGCUUUAUAGUACAGGUAAACUUUGAGAAUAAGACUAUGUUUCAAAAACAGUAAGUCCCAAAUAACAAUAACUCGUGCAUUAAUGGAGCGCAUUCCUCGUUUUUAGUUCACCUUGCUUAUACCUGAUGACUUGGUUUCUAAUUCAUUAUGCGAGUCAGUGAGCACCUUUAAGGGUUUAUGACAGUCAUCUAAUUGUCUUGGUCAGGGCCAAAGGACUUGGUUAUAUGCUUUUCAUACCAAAAUGACAUAAUUUCAUUGAGGAAUCUGCUUAUUAACCCAUUCCCCUAAAAAUGCCCAAGUUAAAUAUAAAGAAUUUUUUUCUCUCUCUAACUUGAAGUUACAUUGCAACAUGUAACUCUAAGACUUAAAUUUCAGUGAGCUCUCCCUGGCAUCUUCUUGGGCCCUCAGGUGACACCUGUGUCAAGCUGUACUCUGUGUAGUAUAGGUGACCCUCUUUCUCAAGGACCGGACAUGCCAAAAGGUUUCCCUGCCAAAGCAUAACCCACAAGGAGCAUCUGGGAAGGGGACUCCUUGCCUCAACCCCAAUUAUUCAUUUGACAAGGAACUGUCUAUCACCUACUCUGCCCUAGCCCUGUGCUAGGUGCUGUGGGCACUGGAGUGAACAACAAAAACUAAUAACACUUGACCACAUUGAAUGUACCGGAUCAUUCAUUGAAUGAUCACUAAUGGAGAGUUACAAAGCAAUGGGUUCUGAAGGAAAGGUACAGGGUUCUAUGAGGGAAAUAGCCAAGGAGCCUGAUGCAGACUGGGGGCUGAGGGACAGCUUCCCUGAGGAAAUGUGACUUGGGCUGAACACUAAAGAAAGAGGAGAAAACAUUAAAUAAAGAAGGGAAAGAGUGCCGCAGACGGCAGGAGGCAAGUGGGACUGGAGAGCAGGGUGAGGGCAGGCAUGCUGGGAGACAGGGACCACCAUGCUUGUCCCAGGCCCAAUUAAAUCAGGGCUUGUGACCCAAAAGCAGUGGGAAGUAACCAGGGCAUUGAAGCAGGGGGCUGACAUCAGAUCUGGGUUAUAGCAAGAAACCACUGCUAGGAAGACAGCAUGUUGGCAGUGCGGCCAGAGCUGGAAUCGGGCGGCAGGUCCCGGGAGUCGGGGCUCAAACCUCUGGGACCAGGGCGGCCUGGCCACUCUCAUUUAUUGCGGCUCUGAGGAUAUUAUGAUAUUUUUUAAAACCAUAAAAGAGGAGCAUACAAAUGUUUAUUUUAAUGUUUACAUUUUUAAAUUCCUAAUGUACAGACUCAAGAAUACAAUGCUAUACAAAUAUGCCUUUUGCAGAAUAAAUCUUAAGAUUUAUUUAUUUUUUAAUUCAUAGGGCAGUGUGAGCUGAUCAUAGAUCCCAACCUAAAAAGCAAAAAACAUGAAGAACAUCUUUUAAUCUAGUUGUUGUUAUCUCUAGGACUAAAUGUAUAACUGUACCUGGCAACAACACCGCGUCUAAAUGUAGGCCUCUUUAUAAAUGGCUCUCCUAAUUAUCUGUGAUGAUUGCGCAUAGCCCAAGUGAGAAAAGAGAGAUGGUGGAGUUGUAUGGGGACCAGAGGGACUAUGGGGAUAGAGAUAAGUGAACUGACCCCACAGAGUCCACUACUUCAGAAUGUGCAGAUUGCUCACUGCUCAAGGCCAAGGAGGUGGGUGGGGGCUCUGAUUCAGCCAGGGCCUUGCAUGCUACUCAUUGAGUCCUGGCACAGAGCUGAGUCCACUGGAGAAUGGGGUGUCUUUUUCUAACUUACACAAAGCUCCAUGUAUGCUAGCAGUGGCCUCCAUGAGAGAGACAGUGAGGAGGUAACACUGAAGAAUGAGGUCGUAGAUUAGAUAAGGAGGUGAGAGGAUGGCAGGGCCGAGGCCUUCUCUUUCCUCUUUUUCCUCUCCACCCUUUCCUGCCCAAACCAUAUUGGCAUGAAGCAACUGGAGAUUCCAGCUUUUAUCCCUGCCGUCCAGACCAUUCCACACUACCCAUCAGUCCUACCCAGCUUGCUCUCCCAGCCCUGCUCUGAUAAGCCAACCCUGCUCACCAUAGAAACUUAGCUCUAAAGAAAGCUUCAGGCUGGGCAUGGUGGCUCAUGCCUAUAAUCCCAGAACUUUGGGAGGCCAAGGCAGGCGAAUAGCUUGAGCCCAGGAGUUCGAGACCAGCCUGGCCAACAUGGUGAAAUCUCAUCUCUAUAAAAAAAAAAAAAAAUUAGCUAGGUACAGUCACAUGUGCCUGUAGUCCUAGCUACUUGGGAGGCUGAGCUGGGAGAAUCACCUGAGCCUAGGAAGUCGAGGCUGCAGUGAGCUGUGAUCAGACCACUGCACUCCAGCCUGGGCCUCAGAGUGAGAACUUGUCUCAAAAGAAAAAGCAAGCUUCAAGGUUUAAGAGGCGGAGGACAACUCCUCAACUCCACACAGUGGGAACAUUCUGUAGCCUGAGCAUCUUCUCUGUUAUCUAGGAAUUUGUGAGAUUGAGAUGAUCCAUGGAAAACCUUUCAAAAUAAAUGGACCAAAUUCAAGACACCUAACCAUGAGUUACAACCAACCCUUUCUCAGGGCCACCUGCUUGCACAGCAUGAGGGGCGUCUUGCUUGUUGUCACUGAUACAGAGGAUGUCUUGUCCAAUGUGACUGGCAUGUCCUGGGUUUUUCCCAUUUGCCAGAGACCUGAGCUGUCAUUCACAGGUGCUGAGAGGGAGCAGGAGAGGCAAGCAGAAGCUGAAAUGCCCAGGCCUGGGCAGCGUCCUUGCUUUGCAUCAUGACUUGGCUGCUUCCUGCCACCUUCACACAGGUGUGAAACCUUAGGGCAAACCACCUCGAAUCUCUGGAAAAGGUAAAGGAGAAGCUGGCCCAAGCGGGGAUGGGGAUGCCCCCGGCCUGCGGUACACCCUCCCUUGUUCUCAUUCACUUACCUGUUUAGGGAUAGUGCACAAGCGUAAAAAAGAGAAAACCUCAGACACAAAGAGUUGUAUUUAAUCAAUGAACCAAACCACCUCUAGGCUGCAUUGAGCUUUGUAACUGUUAUUACAUACCACUUAGUAUGUUUAUCCCGUGUCUGGCACUUUGCAUACAUACGGCAGAGAAGCAAGUUGCCUAACUAACCCAAUAUCUGUUCUUCCCACCUUUAGUUACAGAAGCCCCAGUGUUUAGCUGGGCACAUGACCACCUGUUUAAAAAAAUCGACAUUUUGCAUAUUCCCUUGGAAGUCAGUACGUCCACACGCUCAAGCGGAGCUGCUCAGGGCAGCUCAGCUGCUGUCUACCUCCUGACUUCGUGUUUCUGAGGAUUCAGUGAAAUAAGGUCUUCAAAGCUCUGAGCACAGCACCUGGCACACCAGAAGUGUUUGAUAACUGUACUUUAUUAAGGUAAUUUUCAUCUCCCUAGCUGGAUGGAUCAAUUUCUCAAGGACAAAGUCCCUGUCUUCAAUUUCUGUUAUAUUGUCUACCACACUCAGAACAUUCCUGAACCCACAGUGGGGGCUCAAUUGUCAACAUAAUUUUAUGGCUGAAUCCAAACAUGCAAAUAAAAUUAUUACAUGCAUUUUCAAAUUAAUUGUUUCUUUCAGAGCAGAGAACUGAUGUAGCUAAAGCAGCAAUGACUAUGCUGGUCAUUUAAAAUAAAGACAGGCUGGACACAGUGGCUCAUGCCUGUAAUCCCAGCACUUUGGGAAGCUGAGGCGAGUGGGUUGCUUGAGCCCAGGAGUUUGAGACCAUCCUGGACAACAUGGCGAAACCCCAUCUCUACCAAAAAAUACAAAAAUCAGCUAAGCAUGAUGGUAUGUGCCUGUGGUCCCAGCUACUCAGGAGGUUGAGGUGGGAGGAUCACUUGAGCCUGGGAGGUUGGAGGAUGCGAUAAGCAGUGAUCACACCACUGCACACAAGCCUUGGCAACAGAGUGAGACCCUGUCUCAAUAAAAUAAAUAAAUACAGGAUUCCUAACUUAAAAAAUUACUUAAAAGGCAGAGAAGGCCAGGCAUGUUGGCUUACACCUGUAAUUCU
rnacentral:lncRNA from 1 species